rnacentral:rRNA from 1 species
AAGCAGCAGGCGCGCAAAUUACCCACUCCCGGCACGGGGAGGUAGUGACGAAAAAUAACGAUACGGGACUCAUCCGAGGCCCCGUAAUCGGAAUGAGUACACUUUAAAUCCUUUAACGAGGAUCAAUUGGAGGGCAAGUCUGGUGCCAGCAGCCGCGGUAAUUCCAGCUCCAAUAGCGUAUAUUAAAGUUGUUGCGGUUAAAAAGCUCGUAGUUGAAUCUGUGUGCCACGCUGUCGGUUCAUCGCUCGCGAUGUUUAACUGACAUGAUUGUGGGACGUCCUGCCGGUGGGCUUAGCUCUUCGGAGCGGUCCAACUAAUAUCCCAUCGCGGUGCUCUUCAUUGAGUGUCGAGGUGGGCCGGUACGUUUACUUUGAACAAAUUAGAGUGCUCAAAGCAGGCUAUUUUCGCCUGAAUACUGUGUGCAUGGAAUAAUGGAAUAGGACCUCGGUUCUAUUUUGUUGGUUUUCGGAACCCCGAGGUAAUGAUUAAUAGGGACAGAUGGGGGCAUU